UCCGCAAGGAGCCGGAAGGGGAAGACGACUGGAGGUGGAGUGGCUUCGUCUUCGAUGUCCUCAACUGCCUCGCAGAUUCUCUGCACUUCAGAUACCAGAGCAGAGAUCCUGAACACCACUACUACUUCGCACAGCUCCCCAACGGUUCUUACGUGGGCGUCAUUGGUGACGUGGCUCGCAAGGUGGCGGACGUCGCGGUGGGUGACCUGUCUAGGACGACGGCGCGCGAUGCCCUUGUGGACUUCACCACGUUGAUCCUCGACGACGCUGUCACAUUCGUAUAUUAUCGUGGAACAAGCGAGCCUGGGCUUUGGACUGUGCUCAAGCCA
rnacentral:lncRNA from 1 species